rnacentral:rRNA from 1 species
UACGAAGGUGGCAAGCGUUGUUCGGAUUUACUGGGCGUAAAGGGUGCGCAGGUGGGUUGGCAAGUUUGAUGUGAAAGCCCCGGGCUUAACCCGGGAAUGGCAUUGAAUACUGCUGAUCUGGAGGAUCGGAGGGGGGACUGGAAUUCUUGGUGUAGCAGUGAAAUGCGUAGAUAUCAAGAGGAACACCAGUGGCGAAGGCGAGUCCCUGGACGAUACCUGACACUGAGGCACGAAAGCCGGGGGAGCAAACAGG